GACCGCCCCGUUGCGGGGCGAUGGUAGCGCCAGAAGGAAAGGAGGUGUUGUAGGUUGCGAAGCAAAGGAACCGUGAAGUGGUUCAACGAUGCCAAGGGCUUCGGCUUUAUCGAGCGACCUGACGGUGAGGAUGUGUUCGUGCACUAUUCCGCCAUUCAGGCCAACGGCUUCAAGACCCUGAACGAGGGGCAGGCCGUGGAGUUCGAUGUGGUGCAGGGCCCCAAGGGCCUGCAAGCGUCGAACGUUUCCAAGGCCGAGUAGCGCAUCGCAGGGACCAAAAGGCCCCCGGGGAAUUCCCCGGGGGCCUUUU
rnacentral:other from 1 species